AUGAGCAUACAACAGCAGUCUCAGGAAAUGGUCCACCACUUCUCGGCCAAAUUCCUUCUUGUCAAAAACAAGAUUAAAGAUUGCCAUGACGAGGAAGCGAUCUCAGUGUUCCGCAACAAUUGCAGGGACGAAGGAAUCCUCAACGCCAUCAACCGCCAUCGCAUCCUACACUUCGCUGACUUGGCAACUAUCGUACAGAAGUACAGCGCAAUGGAAAGCGCCUGGAAAACUCAAGCAUUCCAUCGGGAAUCAUCGGCCCCCACUCAACCCCUCAUUCAGGCUAAAAGGUCGCACCCUUUCAACAUGCCCGGUUCAAUAAUAAAGAAAUAUAAGUCCAGUAUGGGGCGCGGAACCGUUCUGGAAGGAUGGCUCGAUGGGUCA
rnacentral:rRNA from 1 species